UACGUAGGGUGCAAGCGUUGUCCGGAAUUAUUGGGCGUAAAGAGCUCGUAGGCGGUCUGUCGCGUCUGCUGUGAAAACUCAGGGCUUAACCCUGAGCUUGCAGUGGGUACGGGGCAGACUAGAGUGCGGUAGGGGAGACUGGAAUUCCUGGUGUAGCGGUGAAAUGCGCAGAUAUCAGGAGGAACACCGAUGGCGAAGGCAGGUCUCUGGGCCACUACUGACGCUGAGAAAGCGAAAAGCAUGGGGGAGCGAACAGG
rnacentral:rRNA from 1 species